rnacentral:rRNA from 1 species
CCCGGCGCACGGGUGAGUAACACGUAUCCAACCUGCCGUCUACUCUUGGCCAGCCUUCUGAAAGGAAGAUUAAUCCAGGAUGGGAUCAUGAGUUCACAUGUCCGCAUGAUUAAAGGUAUUUUCCGGUAGACGAUGGGGAUGCGUUCCAUUAGAUAGUAGGCGGGGUAACGGCCCACCUAGUCAACGAUGGAUAGGGGUUCUGAGAGGAAGGUCCCCCACAUUGGAACUGAGACACGGUCCAA